UUUCAUGGUUGUUAUGUUUAUAUCCAAGUAACAUUGAAUGAAAUUAUCGAACAGUUGACAUGUCGGGUGCAUCAUUGUUAACGCGGUCACGUUAAGCUGUUUUGGUUAUCAUAACGAACAUCGUUAAAAAAAUUGGUCUGAUAAAAGACAGUCGACUUACAUGUUGUUGGCGAAACGGGCACCUGCCGGUUUCUGAGAUCAAGCGAAGUCUAGUCUUAGAAACCAGUCCAGACACGAGGAUGUAAGCGUGGAAAUCACCGGCAAAAACAAUAUGUCUCGCAAAACACAGAACCGUUAUGAUGAUGACUUUGAAUUUGAUGAAGUUGAGGACACAGAAACGCUGAUAUCGAGAAACAAGCCUCCACGGUACAAGUCAGCUCCUGCAAAGAAA